CCUACGGGUGGCAGCAGUAGGGAAUUUUCGUCAAUGGGCGCAAGCCUGAACGAGCAAUGCCGCGUGAACGAGGAAGGUCUUCGGAUCGUAAAGUUCUGUUGAAGGGGACAAGGAGCGGAGAGAGGAAAUGGUCUCCGAUUGAUAUUACCCUUCGAGGAAGUCACGGCUAACUACGUGCCAGCAGCCGCGGUAAUACGUAGGUGGCGAACGUUAUCCGGAUUGAUUGGGCGAAAAGGGUGCGUAGGCGGCCUGCUAAGUCGGGGGUGAAAGGUACCGGCUCAACCGGUAGAGGCGCUGGAAACUGGCGGGCUAGAGAGCAGGAGAGGGCGGUGGAACUCCAUGUGUAGCGGUAAAAUGCGUAGAUAUAUGGAAGAACACCAGUGGCGAAGGCGGCCGCCUGGCCUGUUACUGACGCUGAGGCACGAAAGCGUGGGGAGCAAAUAGGAUUAGAUACCCGGGUAGUC
rnacentral:rRNA from 1 species